GCAGGGAGCUGAAAUGACCAUUAUUGCCAGUUCUCAGGAGCUUGUCACAAGACCCUGGAUAUGUGAUGAUGUUCUUAGAGCUUCAGCUCAGUCCCUGCAUUGGUUAAAAUGAAGUAGUAAGUUCCUAGCUCUCAAGGCUGCAGAGAAAAGCUUGGAAACCUGAAUCCUACAGGGUGCAAAACAGAACCCAACAUUUAUCAUUGUAAAUCUUAUGGUGAUAAAGCUAAACUUGUGAAUUUUGAGUGCUUAGUUAUCAGUACCGGAUUAGGGGUCAGCAGGGGACUAGUCUGUGCUGAAGGGGACCAGGCUGUUUGGGUGAAUCAGGCCUGGGUGUCUCUUUUCCCUUCUGUUUACUGGGGUCCUUGUUACACAGUGAAAUCCCUAGUCAGUGUUUUGCUGCAGGAGCCUGGACCAUUCCAGCAGGAACAAGGGAGAGAUGCAGGUUUGAAAACUAAAGCACUUACCUCAGCUGGGAUAAGGCUGUUUUCACAAGACACAAAAUGGCUGCAAAGCACCAUGGUCGGAAGCCCCUGGGGCUGCAGAUCCAGGGUCCACUACAACAAGUGUUGCUAACGCAUGUCAAAGUGGAAACAGAAAAUCCAGCAGGGCCCAAACCAGGGAAGGAAUCGGAGAGAGAAGGGAAAGACGCUGCUGUGAUGCCACCCAUCUCAGCAUGUCCCCCAUUGUCCCAGACAGGACGACAAAAAUCCAGCUCUGAGCAACAGGAGAAGAUCCCCCAGCAUUGGGAAAAUCAAAAUCAGGACAUGCUGCGAGCCCCCUGGACCUCUCCUGAGGCUGUACCGGCAUCAGCCUGGGCCUGGGGAAACCCAGAACUGCCUGAGCUCACACCAGAGGAUGACAUUGAGGUCUAUCUAGCUUCCUUCGAGCGAGUGGCUGAAGCCUGCCACUGGCCCAGAAGAGAGUGGGUGACCCGACUCCUGCCAUCUCUCACUGGAAAAGCCCAACAGGCCAUUAGCAGCCUGAAUGCCAGAGACGCCCAAGACUACAGGAAGGUGAAGACAGCCAUCCUGCGAGGCUGCAACAUCAGCACGGAGAUGCAGCGCCUUCACUUCAGGCAGUUCCGCUACCAGGAGGCCAAAGGGCCCCAGGAGGUCUGCAGCCGCCUGCGGGAACUCUCCCAUCGAUGGCUGAAGCCGGAGAUCCGCACCAAGGAGCAGAUCAUGGAGCUGCUGAUCCUGGAGCAGUUCCUGACCAUCCUGCCUGAGGAAAUCCAGAGCUGGAUCUGGGUACGUCACCCGGAAACUUGCGCCCAGGCUGUUUCCCUGGCAGAGGAUUUCCAGCUGGGACAGCGAGAGGCUGGAGUGUGGGAGCAGCAGGUCACAGUGCACGUAAAGGUUGAGGAAAUGGAGACCCCUGAAGCAUUAUGGGAAUCUCAGAACUCCCAGCUGGAGCAACUGCAGCCCAGUCACAAGUGCGUCUCCCCAGAGGAGGUUGGACAAGACAAGUCCAAGUUGCCCUGUGCCGAGAAGAAUCAAGCACUACAGGAAACUGGUGCUGGGAUCCUGAGCAGAACUGAGGAGCAGCCUUGUGACGAAGGCCCUGAAAACCUGCUGCUGCCCAGCGUACCAGAAAGGGGAUCAGGGGAGAGUGUUACCCACAAAUGUGAGCAGGGAGAAGCCUGCAAGAGGCAGAAGAGGAGCCCAGCACAUGAGACAGAUCCCUCAGGGGAACGUGAGAGCAGAUUUAGGAGACUAACCCAGCUCCCUGCACCGGGGAGACCACGGACCAUAGGAGACUAUCACUGUCAAAGCAAUUUUCUCAGGACAGAGAAACCCCACAGAGGUAGAGACUGUGGGGAAAGGUUCGGGGACAAGCAGAAGCUUACAGAGCAUGGAAAAGUCCACAGGAGUGAGAGGCCCCAUCCUUGUGCUGAAUGUGGGAAGAGCUUCAACCGCCUAGCUCAUCUCAAAACACACCAGAGAACCCACACAGGAGAGAAACCCUAUUUCUGUGCAGAGUGUGGGAAACGCUUUGGCCACCUCUCCACACUGACCACUCACCAGAGACUGCACACAGGGGAGAGACCUUACUCCUGUGCUGAGUGCGGGAAAACCUUCACUCACCCCUCAGACUUGAAUAAGCACCAGCGCUCCCACACAGGUGAGCGGCCCUACCCCUGCGCCGAGUGCGGGAAGCGCUUCAGCCAGCUCUCCAACCUGACUAAACACCAAAGAAGCCACACCGAGGAGCGGCCUUACCCAUGCACUGAGUGUGGGAAGAGCUUCAAAUACCUCGCUGAUCUCACUGUGCACGAGCGCUCCCACACGGGCGAGCGGCCCUUCCCAUGCCCUGAGUGCGGGAAGAGCUUCAGUAACAAAUCCUCUCUGGCCCGUCACCAGAGAAUCCACGCCAGAGCCGCAGCCAGAAACAAGUGAGACCAUGUUUAGACUAUAGACUAAGCAAGAGCUCCCCUCCCGUUAGCCUGUAUAUGUGAUUGGAGCAGAACAUGAGCCACUACUACACAGCCUGAGGGAAGUCAGCCCUCCACCCUCCCUUAUGCCAUCACCCCCUCACAUCCUACAGGAGAAUGAGGGAGGCUUAAGUGGAGUCCCAGUGCCUGAAACCUCCAGAAGAUAUUCUGUUCUUACCUGCUUUUACUAAUAGCACCUAGCUCUUGUAUAUCUCUCUCCAUAUGUUGAAGUGCUGCAGAAAGGCGGUAAGGUGAUAGGAGAGCCCUGGUUUCCUUUCUGCUGCUCUGGGGCAGAAGCUGUCUUGUUGCUCAGCUGCCUUUGAUCACAACUACCAAUUCAGUUGUACUUAUGGGAGGUUUUGAUCACACUACAUACACCCUGAUCCUGAGAAAGAGCUCCAUGUGAACAGGCUCCUUUGGAGUUCAGUGCCGGAAUGGACCCUCAGUAUUUAACUCACUGACAUACCUCGUUUGCUGCUGUUCUGAUUUAUUUAUGAUUUCCUAUUCACCUGAUUAUGAAUUUAACAGCACUCCGUGUCAGUUCAGUCAUUAGCACUGUGUACUUAACUCCUUCCCUAGUCACUUGUCUUACCUACAGAACUGUCCCUUAAUCAUAGACUUCAAGGUCAGAAGGGACCAUUAUGAUCACCCCGAUCGAAUUGGCCCUGUCAGCACUGGUUCUCUACUUGUGAGGUAACUCCCUUCCCUUCAUGUGUCAUUAU